rnacentral:rRNA from 1 species
UACGGAGGGGGCUAGCGUUGUUCGGAAUUACUGGGCGUAAAGCGCACGUAGGCGGCUUUGUAAGUUAGAGGUGAAAGCCCGGGGCUCAACCCCGGAAUUGCCUUUAAGACUGCAUCGCUUGAACGUCGGAGAGGUGAGUGGAAUUCCGAGUGUAGAGGUGAAAUUCGUAGAUAUUCGGAAGAACACCAGUGGCGAAGGCGGCUCACUGGACGAAUGUUGACGCUGAGGCGCGAAAGCUAGGGGAGCAAACGGG